AUGACAUCAGCUGCAUACUCCACAGAGACCCAGAGUUACUGUUAAUAUCAAAAAUAGUCCACAUAAUUAUUACCAGCUACACCCACCAUGGGAGAAACUGGUGAGAGAGACCAUCAGGACCAAGCUGGGUUUCCUGGGUCUAGAGGUUUGGAGAAAUCCAGAUGUUCUGUUGACCCACUGAGAGAGGCAUCAUUUCAGAAACAUCAGAAAAAAUGAAGUUCAUCGCAGGGAUCAAGGAGGACCUCAUGAUCUUCACCACCAGCUCCCUUGCAGAGAAAUCUUCAGAACUCCACUGUAGGCCCACUCCAGAAGAGACCUUUGGUUUGUUUAAUGUUAUAAAUACUUGGACUGAACUCUUACAUAAAGAUAUUAUAUUCAGUCUUGUAGAAAUAAAUAUAUAUAUAUAUUAUCCUCUCUGGUCACUGGUAUGAAUGACUCUGAAUUAUUUUGUGGUAAAUAACACACUAUUGGC
ensembl:lncRNA